rnacentral:rRNA from 1 species
AUACGAAGGGGGCUAGCGUUGUUCGGAAUCACUGGGCGUAAAGCGCGCGUAGGUGGAUCAAUUAGUUGAGGGUGAAAUCCCGGGGCUCAACCUCGGAACUGCCUUCAAUACUGUUGAUCUUGAGACCGAGAGAGGUGAGUGGAAUUCCUAGUGUAGAGGUGAAAUUCGUAGAUAUUAGGAAGAACACCAGUGGCGAAGGCGGCUCACUGGCUCGGUACUGACGCUGAGGUGCGAAAGCGUGGGGAGCAAACAGAAUUAGAUACCCGUGUAGUCC